rnacentral:rRNA from 1 species
GAUGAACGCUGGCGGCGUGCCUAACACAUGCAAGUCGAGCGAAGCACCUUACUUGAUUUCUUCGGGAUGAAAGUAUUGUGACUGAGCGGCGACGGGUGAGUAACGCGUGGAUAACCUGCCUCAUACAGGGGGAUAACAGUUAGAAAUGACUGCUAAUACCGCAUAAGACCACAGCACCGCAUGGUGCAGGGGUAAAAACUCCGGUGGUAUGAGAUGGAUCCGCGUCUGAUUAGCUAGUUGGUAAGGUAACGGCUUACCAAGGCAACGAUCAGUAGCCGGUCUGAGAGGAUGAACGGCCACAUUGGGACUGAGAUACGGCCCAG